UUGCGCCUGCGAAGGACGAAGCGGAGCCCCCACGAGGCAUGGUCUUGCAGGCGGCCGGGCGCCGUCCCCGUCUUGUGAUCACCAAUUUUGGUGAUUCAAAUCAUUUC
rnacentral:sRNA from 1 species